rnacentral:ncRNA from 5 species
UCGCUUGGUGCAGGUCGGGAC